GAGACCUUGAGGAUGUUGCUCUGCAAUCGCUCUGUGGAGCGAUAGGUAACGAUGCUUCGCGGGAGGCAGUUGUUGAUGUGUUCAGAGGGUCCCUGGUUGGAGGUCAGGUUGGGGCGAGGAGAGGGACGGGAAGCAACACCGUUACAUUGGGAAUGAUGACAACAUUACAGGAGAUAUUCAUCUAGCUAGCUAGGUGAUAUAGAGUAACAUGAUAGUACUACUACAGGGUUAUAUACAGGAGAUAUUCAUCUAGCUAGCUAGGUGAUAUAGAGUAACAUGUCAGUACUACUACAGGGUUAUAUACAGGAGAUAUUCCUCUAGCUAGCUAGGUGAUAUAGAGUAACAUGUCAGUACUACUACAGGGUUAUAUACAGGAGAUAUUCCUCUAGCUAGCUAGGUGAUAUAGAGUAACA